GGGUUGUGAGGUUAAGCGACUAAGCGUACACGGUGGAUGCCCUGGCAGUCAGAGGCGAUGAAGGACGUGCUAAUCUGCGAAAAGCGUCGGUAAGGUGAUAUGAACCGUUACAGCCGGCGAUGUCCGAAUGGGGAAACCCAGUGCAAUUCGUUGCACUAUCGUUAACUGAAUACAUAGGUUAACGAGGCGAACCGGGGGAACUGAAACAUCUAAGUACCCCGAGGAAAAGAAAUCAACCGAGAUUCCCCCAGUAGCGGCGAGCGAACGGGGAGCAGCCCAGAGUCUGAAUCAGCUUGUGUGUUAGUGGAACGGUCUGGAAAGUCCGACGGUACAGGGUGAUAGUCCCGUACACCAAAAUGCACAGGUUGUGAACUCGAAGAGUAGGGCGGGACACGUGGUAUCCUGUCUGAAUAUGGGGGGACCAUCCUCCAAGGCUAAAUACUCCUGACUGACCGAUAGUGAACCAGUACCGUGAGGGAAAGGCGAAAAGAACCCCGGCGAGGGGAGUGAAAAAGAACCUGAAACCGUGUACGUACAAGCAGUGGGAGCACCUUCGGGUGUGACUGCGUACCUUUUGUAUAAUGGGUCAGCGACUUAUAUUCUGUAGCAAGGUUAACCGUAUAGGGGAGCCGCAGGGAAACCGAGUCUUAACUGGGCGUUAAGUUGCAGGGUAUAGACCCGAAACCCGGUGAUCUAGCCAUGGGCAGGUUGAAGGUUGGGUAACACUAACUGGAGGACCGAACCGACUAAUGUUGAAAAAUUAGCGGAUGACUUGUGGCUGGGGGUGAAAGGCCAAUCAAACCGGGAGAUAGCUGGUUCUCCCCGAAAGCUAUUUAGGUAGCGCCUCGUGAAUUCAUCUUCGGGGGUAGAGCACUGUUUCGGCUAGGGGGUCAUCCCGACUUACCAACCCGAUGCAAACUACGAAUACCGAAGAAUGUUAUCACGGGAGACACACGGCGGGUGCUAACGUCCGUCGUGAAGAGGGAAACAACCCAGACCGCCAGCUAAGGUCCCAAAGUCAUGGUUAAGUGGGAAACGAUGUGGGAAGGCACAGACAGCCAGGAUGUUGGCUUAGAAGCAGCCAUCAUUUAAAGAAAGCGUAAUAGCUCACUGGUCGAGUCGGCCUGCGCGGAAGAUGUAACGGGGCUAAACCAUGCACCGAAGCUGCGGCAGCGACACUAUGUGUUGUUGGGUAGGGGAGCGUUCUGUAAGCCUGCGAAGGUGUGCUGUGAGGCAUGCUGGAGGUAUCAGAAGUGCGAAUGCUGACAUAAGUAACGAUAAAGCGGGUGAAAAGCCCGCUCGCCGGAAGACCAAGGGUUCCUGUCCAACGUUAAUCGGGGCAGGGUGAGUCGACCCCUAAGGCGAGGCCGAAAGGCGUAGUCGAUGGGAAACAGGUUAAUAUUCCUGUACUUGGUGUUACUGCGAAGGGGGGACGGAGAAGGCUAUGUUAGCCGGGCGACGGUUGUCCCGGUUUAAGCAUGUAGGCUGAUUGUCCAGGCAAAUCCGGAUAAUCAAGGCUGAGGUGUGAUGACGAGGCACUACGGUGCUGAAGUAACAAAUGCCCUGCUUCCAGGAAAAGCCUCUAAGCAUCAGGUAACAUCAAAUCGUACCCCAAACCGACACAGGUGGUCAGGUAGAGAAUACCAAGGCGCUUGAGAGAACUCGGGUGAAGGAACUAGGCAAAAUGGUGCCGUAACUUCGGGAGAAGGCACGCUGGUGUGUAGGUGAAGUCCCUGCGGAUGGAGCUGAGACCAGUCGAAGAUACCAGCUGGCUGCAACUGUUUAUUAAAAACACAGCACUGUGCAAACACGAAAGUGGACGUAUACGGUGUGACGCCUGCCCGGUGCCGGAAGGUUAAUUGAUGGGGUUAUCCGUAAGGAGAAGCUCUUGAUCGAAGCCCCGGUAAACGGCGGCCGUAACUAUAACGGUCCUAAGGUAGCGAAAUUCCUUGUCGGGUAAGUUCCGACCUGCACGAAUGGCGUAAUGAUGGCCAGGCUGUCUCCACCCGAGACUCAGUGAAAUUGAACUCGCUGUGAAGAUGCAGUGUACCCGCGGCAAGACGGAAAGACCCCGUGAACCUUUACUAUAGCUUGACACUGAACAUUGAGCCUUGAUGUGUAGGAUAGGUGGGAGGCUUUGAAGCGUGGACGCCAGUCUGCGUGGAGCCAACCUUGAAAUACCACCCUUUAAUGUUUGAUGUUCUAACGUUGGCCCCUUACCGGGGUUGCGGACAGUGUCUGGUGGGUAGUUUGACUGGGGCGGUCUCCUCCCAAAGCGUAACGGAGGAGCACGAAGGUUAGCUAAUCCUGGUCGGACAUCAGGAGGUUAGUGCAAUGGCAUAAGCUAGCUUGACUGCGAGCGUGACGGCGCGAGCAGGUGCGAAAGCAGGUCAUAGUGAUCCGGUGGUUCUGAAUGGAAGGGCCAUCGCUCAACGGAUAAAAGGUACUCCGGGGAUAACAGGCUGAUACCGCCCAAGAGUUCAUAUCGACGGCGGUGUUUGGCACCUCGAUGUCGGCUCAUCACAUCCUGGGGCUGAAGUAGGUCCCAAGGGUAUGGCUGUUCGCCAUUUAAAGUGGUACGCGAGCUGGGUUUAGAACGUCGUGAGACAGUUCGGUCCCUAUCUGCCGUGGGCGCUGGAGAAUUGAGGGGGGCUGCUCCUAGUACGAGAGGACCGGAGUGGACGCAUCACUGGUGUUCGGGUUGUCAUGCCAAUGGCACUGCCCGGUAGCUAAAUGCGGAAGAGAUAAGUGCUGAAAGCAUCUAAGCACGAAACUUGCCCCGAGAUGAGUUCUCCCUGAGACUUUAAGUCUCCUGAAGGAACGUUAAAGACGAUGACGUUGAUAGGCCGGGUGUGUAAGCGCAGCGAUGCGUUGAGCUAACCGGUACUAAUGAACCGUGAGGCUUAACCUUACAACGCCGAAG
rnacentral:rRNA from 1 species